UCUUUUCAUCACCCAUCUCUUUCUUUAAUUACUUCCUUCAUUUCGUCUCUCUCUCUCUCUCUCUCUCUCUCUAAAAAAACCCCAACAGACAAACCCAGCAGCUCUAUCUCUAUGUGUUUGUUGGGCUUGGCUGAGUUACACUGUUCUGCAAUGGCUGCUUUCUUAUGUGGUGACCAAGCUGCCCUUGGUCAUCAUGGGGUGCCCUCUUCCUUUGCCUUCGUUAAUCAAGGGUCAUUUUGGCGCUUUCAUAAAUAGAGAGAAGAGACCCAGUUACAAUGUAGACGAGGAGGGGGGAGAAAGAAGAAGCAUAUGAUUCUUCAUCAAUGAUGGGUUUUUUUGGUUAACUCACAUCAGAACGCAGAGGAGAUAGAAAAUGGAAGCAUUUUGAUGCCAUUUCUUUAACAUGUAUGUAAGGCUAAAAUGUUGCUGGUACUCAUUUUAAUAUUUAUCGGAAAUGAUCAUUAUUGGAAA